UACGUAGGGUGCGAGCGUUUGUCCGGAAUUACUGGGCGUAAAGAGCUCGUAGGUGGUUUGUCGCGUUGUUCGUGAAAACUCACAGCUCAACUGUGGGCGUGCGGGCGAUACGGGCAGACUGGAGUACUGCAGGGGAGACUGGAAUUCCUGGUGUAGCGGUGAAAUGCGUAGAGAUCAGGAGGAACACCCGUGGCGAAGGCGGCUCCCUGGUCCGUUUCUGACGCUGAGGCGGCGAAAAGCGGCGGGGGAGCGAACGGG
rnacentral:rRNA from 1 species